GCUCAGUUGGUAAAGCACAAGGCUCUUAACCUUAUGGACGUGGGUUCAAGCCCCAU
rnacentral:tRNA from 1 species